rnacentral:rRNA from 1 species
CAGCACCUCAAGUGGUCAGGAUGAUUAUUGGGCCUAAAGCAUCCGUAGCCGGCGCUGCAAGUUUUCGGUUAAAUCUGUACGCUCAACGUACAGGCUGCCGGGAAUACUGCAGCGCUAGGGAGUGGGAGAGGUAGACGGUACUCGGUAGGAAGGGGUAAAAUCCUUUGAUCUAUUGAUGACCACCUGUGGCGAAGGCGGUCUACCAGAACACGUCCGACGGUGAGGGAUGAAAGCUGGGGGAGCAAACCGGAUUAGAUACCCGUGUAGUCC